GAGUCUGUCACGGAGACCUGCAAAGCUGCGCACGGGUGCGGAACACGUGUGCAACCUGCCUUUAUCUGGGGGAUAGCCUUUCGAAAGGAAGAUUAAUACCCCAUAAUAUAUUGGAUGGCAUCAUCUGGUAUUGAAAACUCCGGUGGAUAGAGAUGGGCACGCGCAAGAUUAGAUAGUUGGUGAGGUAACGGCUCACCAAGUCAGCGAUCUUUAGGGGGCCUGAGAGGGUGAUCCCCCACACUGGUACUGAGACACGGACCAGACUCCUACGGGAGGCAGCAGUGAGGAAUAUUGGACAAUGGGUGAGAGCCUGAUCCAGCCAUCCCGCGUGAAGGACGACGGCCCUAUGGGUUGUAAACUUCUUUUGUAUAGGGAUAAACCUAGAUACGUGUAUCUAGCUGAAGGUACUAUACGAAUAAGCACCGGCUAACUCCGUGCCAGCAGCCGCGGUAAUACGGAGGGUGCAAGCGUUAUCCGGAUUUAUUGGGUUUAAAGGGUCCGUAGGCUGAUUUGUAAGUCAGUGGUGAAAUCUCACAGCUUAACUGUGAAACUGCCAUUGAUACUGCAAGUCUUGAGUGUUGUUGAAGUAGCUGGAAUAAGUAGUGUAGCGGUGAAAUGCAUAGAUAUUACUUAGAACACCAAUUGCGAAGGCAGGUUACUAAGCAACAACUGACGCUGAUGGACGAAAGCGUGGGGAGCGAACAGGAUUAGAUACCCUGGUAGUCCACGCCGUAAACGAUGCUAACUCGUUUUUGGGUUUUCGGAUUCAGAGACUAAGCGAAAGUGAUAAGUUAGCCACCUGGGGAGUACGAACGCAAGUUUGAAACUCAAAGGAAUUGACGGGGGCCCGCACAAGCGGUGGAUUAUGUGGUUUAAUUCGAUGAUACGCGAGGAACCUUACCAAGGCUUAAAUGGGAAAUGACAGGUUUAGAAAUAGACUUUUCUUCGGACAUUUUUCAAGGUGCUGCAUGGUUGUCGUCAGCUCGUGCCGUGAGGUGUUAGGUUAAGUCCUGCAACGAGCGCAACCCCUGUCACUAGUUGCCAUCAUUAAGUUGGGGACUCUAGUGAGACUGCCUACGCAAGUAGAGAGGAAGGUGGGGAUGACGUCAAAUCAUCACGGCCCUUACGCCUUGGGCCACACACGUAAUACAAUGGCCGGUACAGAGGGCAGCUACACAGUGAUGUGAUGCAAAUCUCGAAAGCCGGUCUCAGUUCGGAUUGGAGUCUGCAACUCGACUCUAUGAAGCUGGAAUCGCUAGUAAUCGCGCAUCAGCCAUGGCGCGGUGAAUUUGAGUUUGGGCCUGGUACACUAUGUCGUGCAACCGGUCUCUUUUGGUUUACCC
rnacentral:rRNA from 1 species